rnacentral:rRNA from 1 species
AAGCUCGUAGUUGAAUUUCGGGCCUGGCUGGGUGGUCUUGCCGCAAGGUAAGCACUGCUCUGGUCGGGUCUUUCCUUCUGGGGAGCCAGCGUGCUCUUAACUGAGUGCGUUGGGGAUCCAGGACUUUUACUUUGAAAAAAUUGAGUGUUUAGAGCAGGCUUACGCUUGAAUACAUUAGCAUGGAAUAAUAGAAUAGGACUUUGGUUCUAUUUUGUUGGUUUCUAGGACCGAAGUAAUGAUUAAUAGGGAUAGUUGGG